rnacentral:rRNA from 1 species
GAGAUUCCGGUAGUAGCGGCGAGCGAACCUGGAUUAGCCCUUAAGCACUCGGUGAAGUAGGUGAACAAGCUGGAAAGCUUGGCGAUACAGGGUGAUAGCCCCGUAACCGACGCUUCAUCGAGCGUGAAAUCGAGUAGGGCGGGACACGUGAUAUCCUGUCUGAAUAUGGGGGGACCAUCCUCCAAGGCUAAAUACUCCUGACUGACCGAUAGUGAACCAGUACCGUGAGGGAAAGGCGAAAAGAACCCCUGUGAGGGGAGUGAAAUAGAACCUGAAACCGUGUACGUACAAGCAGUAGGAGCACCUUCGUGGUGUGACUGCGUACCUUUUGUAUAAUGGGUCAGCGACUUAUAUUCAGUGGCAAGGUUAACCGUAUAGGGGAGCCGUAGCGAAAGCGAGUCUUAACUGGGCGCUCAGUCUCUGGAUAUAGACCCGAAACCGGGUGAUCUAGCCAUGGGCAGGUUGAAGGUUGAGUAACAUCAACUGGAGGACCGAACCGACUAAUGUUGAAAAAUUAGCGGAUGACUUGUGGCUAGGGGUGAAAGGCCAAUCAAACUCGGAGAUAGCUGGUUCUCCCCGAAAGCUAUUUAGGUAGCGCCUCGGACGAAUACUACUGGGGGUAGAGCACUGUUAAGGCUAGGGGGUCAUCCCGACUUACCAACCCUUUGCAAACUCCGAAUACCAGUAAGUACUAUCCGGGAGACACACGGCGGGUGCUAACGUCCGUCGUGGAGAGGGAAACAACCCAGACCGCCAGCUAAGGUCCCAAAGUAUUGCUAAGUGGGAAACGAUGUGGGAAGGCUCAGACAGCUAGGAUGUUGGCUUAGAAGCAGCCAUCAUUUAAAGAAAGCGUAAUAGCUCACUAGUCGAGUCGGCCUGCGCGGAAGAUGUAACGGGGCUAAGCAAUACACCGAAGCUGCGGCAAUGUCUUUUAGAUAUUGGGUAGGGGAGCGUUCUGUAAGCCGUUGAAGGUGAAUCGUAAGGUUUGCUGGAGGUAUCAGAAGUGCGAAUGCUGACAUGAGUAACGACAAAGGGGGUGAAAAACCUCCUCGCCGGAAGACCAAGGGUUCCUGUCCAACGUUAAUCGGGGCAGGGUGAGUCGACCCCUAAGGUGAGGCCGAAAGGCGUAAUCGAUGGGAAACGGGUUAAUAUUCCCGUACUUCUGACUAUUGCGAUGGGGGGACGGAGAAGGCUAGGUGGGCCAGGCGACGGUUGUCCUGGUUCAAGUGCGUAGGCUUGAGAGUUAGGUAAAUCCGGCUCUCUCUAAGGCUGAGACACGACGUCGAGCUGCUACGGCAGUGAAGUCAUUGAUGCCAUGCUUCCAGGAAAAGCCUCUAAGCUUCAGAUAGUUAGGAAUCGUACCCCAAACCGACACAGGUGGUCGGGUAGAGAAUACCAAGGCGCUUGAGAGAACUCGGGUGAAGGAACUAGGCAAAAUGGUACCGUAACUUCGGGAGAAGGUACGCUCUUGAUGGUGAAGUCCCUCGCGGAUGGAGCUGACGAGAGUCGCAGAUACCAGGUGGCUGCAACUGUUUAUUAAAAACACAGCACUGUGCAAAAUCGCAAGAUGACGUAUACGGUGUGACGCCUGCCCGGUGCCGGAAGGUUAAUUGAUGGGGUUAGCGCAAGCGAAGCUCUUGAUCGAAGCCCCGGUAAACGGCGGCCGUAACUAUAACGGUCCUAAGGUAGCGAAAUUCCUUGUCGGGUAAGUUCCGACCUGCACGAAUGGCGUAAUGAUGGCCACGCUGUCUCCACCCGAGACUCAGUGAAAUUGAAAUCGCUGUGAAGAUGCAGUGUACCCGCGGCUAGACGGAAAGACCCCGUGAACCUUUACUACAGCUUGGCACUGAACAUUGAACCUACAUGUGUAGGAUAGGUGGGAGGCUAUGAAGACGUGACGCUAGUCGCGUUGGAGCCGUCCUUGAAAUACCACCCUUGUAUGUUUGAUGUUCUAACUUAGACCCAUUAUCUGGGUUGAGGACAGUGCCUGGUGGGUAGUUUGACUGGGGCGGUCUCCUCCCAAAGAGUAACGGAGGAGCACGAAGGUGGGCUAAUCACGGUUGGACAUCGUGAGGUUAGUGCAAUGGCAUAAGCCCGCUUAACUGCGAGAAUGACGGUUCGAGCAGGUGCGAAAGCAGGUCAUAGUGAUCCGGUGGUUCUGUAUGGAAGGGCCAUCGCUCAACGGAUAAAAGGUACUCCGGGGAUAACAGGCUGAUACCGCCCAAGAGUUCAUAUCGACGGCGGUGUUUGGCACCUCGAUGUCGGCUCAUCACAUCCUGGGGCUGAAGUCGGUCCCAAGGGUAUGGCUGUUCGCCAUUUAAAGUGGUACGCGAGCUGGGUUUAGAACGUCGUGAGACAGUUCGGUCCCUAUCUGCCGUGGGCGUUGGAAGAUUGAAGGGGGCUGCUCCUAGUACGAGAGGACCGGAGUGGACGAACCUCUGGUGUUCGGGUUGUGUCGCCAGACGCAUUGCCCGGUAGCUAAGUUCGGAAUUGAUAAGCGCUGAAAGCAUCUAAGCGCGAAGCGAGCCCUGAGAUGAGUCUUCCCUGAUACUUUAAGUAUCCUAAAGGGUUGUUCGAGACUAGAACGUUGAUAGGCAGGGUGUGUAAGCGUUGUGAGGCGUUGAGCUAACCUGUACUAAUUGCCCGUGAGGCUUAACCA